GAUGAACGCUAGCGGCAGGCUUAACACAUGCAAGUCGAGGGGUAGAAGUUGCUUGCAACUUUGAGACCGGCGCACGGGUGCGUAACGCGUAUGCAAUCUACCUUGUACAGGGGGAUAGCCCAGAGAAAUUUGGAUUAAUACCCCAUAGUGUAAUUGAAUGGCAUCAUUUGAUUACUAAAGUUCCAACGGUACAAGAUGAGCAUGCGUCCUAUUAGCUAGUUGGUGUGGUAACGGCAUACCAAGGCAACGAUAGGUAGGGGUCCUGAGAGGGAGAUCCCCCAAACUGGUACUGAGACACGGAACAGACUCCUACGGGAGGCAGCAGUGAGGAAUAUUGGUCAAUGGGCGCAAGCCUGAACCAGCCAUGCCGCGUGCAGGAAGAAGCAUCUAUGGUGUGUAAACUGCUUUUGUACGGGAAGAAACACUCCUACGUGUAGGAAUUUGACGGUACCGUAAGAAUAAGGAUCGGCUAACUCCGUGCCAGCCGCCGCGGUAAAAC
rnacentral:rRNA from 1 species